rnacentral:rRNA from 1 species
AAGGCUGAAAAGCGUAGUCGAUGGGAAACAGGUAAAUAUUCCUGUACUAUAGUAUGUUUCGAUGGAAUGACACAGAUUGUUUGCGUGUGCGAGGCUUUGGUUGUCCUCGUCGAACCGUUUAGACUUGUGGCGAGUCAAAUGCUUGCCGCUUUAAGGUUGAGGCGGGAUAGUGACUGGGCUUUCGGGUUCAGGAAGUUGCGUGAACUAGGCUGUCGAGAAAUAAUUUCUAAGGUUAGGCAUAUUAUAAUCGUACCGUAAACCGACACAGGUGGGUGAGAUGAAUAUUCUAAGGCGCUCGAGAUAAUCUUCCCUAAGGAACUCUGCAAAUUAGUCUUGUAACUUCGGAAAAAGAGACGCCUGAAUCUCGGUAGCAAUAUUGGGAGGAGGGUCGCAGUGAAAAGGCCUGGCCGACUGUUUAACAAAAACACAGAUCUCUGCAAACAUGCAAAUGGAUGUAUAGGGAUUGACACCUGCCCAGUGCUGGAAGGUUAAAAGGAGAGGUUAGCGCAAGCGAAGCUUCGAAUUGAAGCCCCAGUAAACGGCGGCCGUAACUAUGACGGUCCUAAGGUAGCGAAAUUCCUUGUCGGGUAAGUUCCGACCUGCACGAAUGGUGUAACGAUCCGGGCACUGUCUCGGGGAAGAACUCGGUGAAAUUGAAUUAUCAGUGAAGAUGCUGAUUACCCGCAACAGGACGGAAAGACCCCGUGAACCUUUACUAUAACUUGGCAUUGAGUUUUGUUUCGCGAUGUGUAGAAUAGAUGGGAGACUUUGAAGCGAGAGCGCCAGCUUUUGUGGAGUCAUCGUUGAAAUACCAUCCUUCGUAAAAUGGGAUUCUAACGAUUAGCCGUUAUCCGGCAGUCGGACAUUGCCAGGCGGGUAGUUUGACUGGGGCGGUCGCCUCCUAAAGAGUAACGGAGGCGUGCAAAGGUCACCUCAAACCGAAUAGAAAUCGGUAGUAGAGUAUAAAGGCAUAAGGUGGCUUGACUGCGAGAGAGACAUCUCGAGCAGGCGCGAAAGCGGGUCUUAGUGAUCCGGUGGUCCCGAGUGGAAGGGCCAUCGCUAAACGGACAAAAGGUACUCCGGGGAUAACAGGCUUAUCUCCCCCAAGAGUUCAUAUCGACGGGGAGGUUUGGCACCUCGAUGUCGGCUCAUCGCAUCCUGGGGCUGGAGCAGGUCCCAAGGGUUUGGCUGUUCGCCAAUUAAAGCGGUACGCGAGCUGGGUUCAGAACGUCGUGAGACAGUUUGGUCCCUAUCCGUUGUGGGUGUUGGAAAAUUGAGAAGAGUCAUUUUUAGUACGAGAGGACCGAAAUGAACGCACCGCUGGUGUAUCUGUUGUCUUACCAAAGGCAUCGCAGAGUAGCUAUGUGUGGACGGGAUAACCGCUGAAAGCAUCUAAGUGGGAAGCCUCCUUCAAGAUUAAUUUUCCCUAUGAGUUUCGUUGGAGACUACGACGUCGAUAGACUGCAAGUGUAAUUGGGGAAAUCCCAUUCAGCUGAGCAGCACUAAUCAGACCAACGGCUUGACCU